rnacentral:rRNA from 1 species
ACUCAAAGGAAUAGACGGGGGCCCGCACAAGCGGCGGAGCAUGUGGCUCAAUUCGAUGCAACGCGAAGAACCUUACCUGGGUUGAACUACGCGGGAAAAGCCGUAGAAAUACGGUGUCCUUCGGGGUCCGCGAUAGGUGGUGCAUGGCUGUCGUCAGCUCGUGUCGUGAGAUGUUGGGUUAAGUCCCGCAACGAGCGCAACCCUUACCCCAUGUUGCCAGCGGGUUAUGCCGGGGACUCGUGGGGGACUGCCGGUGCCAAACCGGAGGAAGGUGGGGACGAGGUCAAGUCAUCAUGCCCCUUACGUCCAGGGCUGCACACAUGCUACAAUGGCCGGUACAAAGGGCUGCAAUCCCGCGAGGGGGAGCUAAUCCCAGAAAGCCGGUCUCAGUUCGGAUCGCAGUCUGCAACUCGACUGCGUGAAGUCGGAGUCGCUAGUAAUCGCAGAUCAGCAAUGCUGCGGUGAAUACGUUCCCGGGCCUUGUACACACCGCCCGU